AGUACUGCUUUGGGGUUCGACUAAGCCAUGCGAGUCUAUGGACUUCGGUCCAUGGCGGACGACUCAGUAACACGUGGCUAACCUACCCUCGGGUGGGGGAUAACCUCGGGAAACUGAGGAUAAUACCCCAUAGGAGAAGAGGUCUGGAAUGAUCCUUCUCUGAAAACAUAUGUGCCCGAGGAUGGGGCUGCGUCUGAUUAGGUAGUUGGUGGGGUAACGGCCCACCAAGCCUACGAUCAGUACGGGCCUUGAGAGAGGCAGCCCGGAGAUGGGGACUGAGACACGGCCCCAGGCCCUACGGGGCGCAGCAGGCGCGAAACCUCCGCAAUGCACGAAAGUGCGACGGGGGGACCCCAAGUGCUUACGCACUGCGUAGGCUUUUCUAAAGUGUAAAAAGCUUUAGGAAUAAGGGCUGGGCAAGUCCGGUGCCAGCAGCCGCGGUAACACCGGCGGCCCGAGUGGUGACCACUUUUAUUGGGCCUAAAGCGUCCGUAGCCGGUCCAGUAAGUCCCUGUUUAAAUCCUACGGCUUAACCGUAGGGCUGGCAGGGAUACUGCUGGACUUGGGACCGGGAGAGGGCGAGGGUACUUCAGGGGUAGCGGCGAAAUGUGUUGAUCCCUGGAGGGCCACCUAUGGCGAAGGCACUCGCCUGGAACGGGUCCGACGGUGAGGGACGAAAGCCAGGGGCGCGAACCGGAUUAGAUACCCGGGUAGUCCUGGCCGUAAACUCUGCGGACUAGGUGUUAGGUAGGCCCCCGUGCCUAUCUAGUGCCGAAGGGAAGCCCGUUAAGUCCGCCGCCUGGGGAGUACGGUCGCAAGACUGAACUUAAAG
rnacentral:rRNA from 1 species